CUACGGGGGGCUCCAGUGAGGAAUAUUGGUCAAUGGGCGCGAGCCUGAACCAGCCAUCCCGCGUGCAGGAUGACGGCCCUAUGGGUUGUAAACUGCUUUUCUAUGCCAAGAAACCUGAUUACGUGUAAUCAGUUGCCGGUAGCAUAGGAAUAAGCAUCGGCUAACUCCGUGCCAGCAGCCGCGGUAAUACGGAGGAUGCAAGCGUUAUCCGGAUUCAUUGGGUUUAAAGGGUGCGCAGGUGGGCUUGUAAGUCAGUGGUGAAAUGCUGCCGCUUAACGGUAGAACUGCCAUUGAUACUGCGAGUCUUGAGUAUGGUUGAGGUAGGCGGAAUGUGUUGUGUAGCGGUGAAAUGCAUAGAUAUGACACAGAACGCCAAUUGCGAAGGCAGCUUACUAAGCCAUUACUGACGCUGAGGCACGAAAGCGUGGGGAGCGAACAGGAUUAGAUCCCCGGUAGUC
rnacentral:rRNA from 1 species